rnacentral:rRNA from 1 species
GACGAACGCUGGCGGCGUGCUUAACACAUGCAAGUCGAACGGUGAAGCGCCUUCCUUUUUGGUGGGUGUGGAUGAGUGGCGAACGGGUGAGUAACACGUGAGUAACCUGCCCCCUUCUUCUGGAUAACCGCAUGAAAGUGUGGCUAAUACGGGAUAUUCUGGGUCUGUCGCAUGAUGGGUCUGGGAAAGAUAUUGUUUCGGUGGGGGAUGGGCUCGCGGCCUAUCAGCUUGUUGGUGGGGUGAUGGCCUACCAAGGCGGUGACGGGUAGCCGGCCUGAGAGGGUGGACGGUCACACUGGGAAUGAGACACGGCCCAGACUCCUACGGGAGGCAGCAGUGGGGAAUAUUGCACAAUGGGCGCAAGCCUGAUGCAGCGACGCCGCGUGAGGGAUGGAGGCCUUCGGGUUGUGAACCUCUUUCGCCAGUGAAGCAGGCCUGCCUCGUUUGUGGGUGGGUUGACGGUAGCUGGAUAAGAAGCGCCAGCUAACUACGUG